rnacentral:rRNA from 1 species
GUGAGGAAUAUUGGACAAUGGAUGGAAAUCUGAUCCAGCCAUGCCGCGUGCAGGAAGACGGCCCUAUGGGUUGUAAACUGCUUUUAUACGGGAGCUAUAAGGUCUAUGCAUAGAUUGAUGAGAGUACCGUAUGAAUAAGCAUCGGCUAACUCUGUGCCAGCAGCCGCGGUAAUACGGAGGAUUCGAGCGUUAUCCGGAUUUAUUGGGUUUAAAGGGUCCGUAGGCGGCUUUGUAAGUCAGCGGUGAAAUUUUGCAGCUUAACUGUAAAAGCGCCGUUGAUACUGUGGAGCGAGGAUUGGGUUGCUGUGGGCGGAAUGUGUAGUGUAGCGGUGAAAUGCAUAGAGAUCACACAGAAUAUCGAUUGCGAAGGCAGCUCACAAAGCCAAUAUUGACGCUGAGGCACGAAAGUGUGGGGAUCAAACAGGAUUAGAAACCCGAGUAGUCC